rnacentral:rRNA from 1 species
UACGUAGGGGGCAAGCGUUGUCCGGAUUUAUUGGGCGUAAAGAGCGUGUAGGCGGCCAUGCAGGUCCGCUGUGAAAACUCGAGGCUCAACCUCGAGAGGUCGGUGGAAACCGCAUGGCUAGAGUCCGGAAGAGGAGAGUGGAAUUCCCGGUGUAGCGGUGAAAUGCGUAGAUAUCACUUGGAACGCCAAAGGUGAAAACAAUCUGCUGGGGAUCUGCUGACGCUGAGACACGAAAGCCAGGGGAGCGAACGGG